rnacentral:lncRNA from 1 species
CGAGCUUCUAAUGAAGCUUCCUCAAAUUCACCUCUUGGAGGCCCCCCCUCUUGAUCCUCUCUCCUCUAAAGCUUAGUAAUGUCUGCCUCCACCCCCUCAAUUCGUCUGAAAAUAUCACCGACCUCCAACUGGUUCCACCAAAUGAGCCUAUGUCUCACCAACUCCAGCCUCUUGGUCACUUGAUAUCUCAUAUCACCAU